rnacentral:rRNA from 1 species
UACAGAGGUCUCAAGCGUUGUUCGGAUUCAUUGGGCGUAAAGGGUGUGUAGGUGGCGCCGUAAGUCGGGUGUGAAAUUUCGGAGCUUAACUCCGAAACUGCAUUCGAUACUGAGAGUCUCGAGUCCGGGAGAGGUGAGUGGAACUGCGAGUGUAGAGGUGAAAUUCGUAGAUAUUCGCAAGAACACCAGUGGCGAAGGCGGCUCACUGGCCCGGUACUGACGCUGAGGUGCGAAAGCGUGGGGAGCAAACAGG